rnacentral:rRNA from 1 species
UACGUAGGGUGCAAGCGUUGUCCGGAAUUAUUGGGCGUAAAGAGCGCGCAGGCGGUCGUUCAAGUCGCGUGUGAAAGCCCCCGGCUCAACUGGGGAGGGUCACGCGAUACUGAUCGACUCGAAGGCAGGAGAGGGUAGUGGAAUUCCCGGUGUAGUGGUGAAAUGCGUAGAUAUCGGGAGGAACACCAGUGGCGAAGGCGACUACCUGGCCUGUUCUUGACGCUGAGGCGCGAAAGCUAGGGGAGCAAACGGGG